AAGUGUCCCGAAGGACAAAUGGUCUCUCUUCCACCAAAAAAUCCAGGAAGAAAGAGAGGGUAACAAUAACAGAAGACAUUAAGUAGACAGAGGGAUUAAUGGAUAAAUGCACAGAUGGAUCGAUAAGCAGAGAACCAACACCUGGAAGGAGGUUCACCGAAACUGUCAAGUGUGGUUAUCUCGAGCCCCAAACCGCCUCAUCUCCCGUGACUACACCGUAUUCAGCUGAAUGGGAGCCCCGCCUCCACGUGACCAGCGCCCCACUCCUGACACAGCUGAGGUUGUCUGCACUGCUCACCACCACAGACAACGCUGCGAUAAACAGGUCUGUAGGAAAUCAGAUAUAAUGGCUGGAGCUCCAACAACUAUCUAACACUAUGAGGAAAGCCUGAAAAUGGAAGCUUCACUCAGCGGCACAAAAAGCCAGAAUGAGCCGGGGUCCCCACGUUGGCGCGUGCACCAUGCCAGCCCCGACGACUACCGUCACGCUUCUUAAAUGUGAAAGAAAAAGAAAAAACUUCCAUAUUGUUUGCGCCACUGCUGUUGUUAGUUACAGCAGAAUCUUACCCUAACCAGUACCCGAAGGUUUCAAGUCGAAUAUUUGCUCCUCAGUUACAGACUACACACAUAGUUGAGCAUAACCACUAAGCAUUAAGCUAUAAUAAAAU